AUGUCGCACAACAUUUUCCCCUGGCUCGCCGUGCCGCCGCCGGCCCCGGCCCCGGCCCCGGUUGCCGCGUACUACCAAGACGACGAGCCGGUGGAGGACAAGAAACCCCUGGCGAACAACGGCCGGGGGUUGGUCCUCAAGACCCACUGCGAGUUCCCGGCCAUCGGAAGGGGCACGUCCAGGGACAAGUUCGCGGUGCUCGUCCACGCCAAGGCGCCCGCCGACGUGGCGCGCGCGCCGCUCGACCUCGUCACCGUGCUCGAUGUCAGCGGCAGCAUGAAUGGCGAAAAGCUGGCGCUGCUGAAACAGGCCAUGGGCUUCGUCAUCGAUCAGCUCGGCCCCGCCGAUCGCCUCUCCGUCGUGUUCUUCUCGGAUCGGGCGGGCCGCCUGACCCGCCUCGCGCGCAUGUCGGGCGCCGGCAAGGCCUCGGCUAAGCUUGCCGUGGAGUCCCUUGUUGCCUUAGCGGGCACGAACAUCCGCGAGGGCCUCCAUGUGGGCGCCCAGGUGCUCGUCGGCCGCCGCCACAAGAACUCCGUCGCCAGCAUGAUCCUUCUCUCCGACGGCCAGGACUCGUAUGUCAGGGGCAACUACAUGGACCUUGUGCCACCCUCGUUCAAGGACGCUGGGAGCCGGCCCGGGCCGAUCCACACGUUCGGCUUCGGCGCCACCCACGACGCCGCGGCAUUGCACACCGUCGCGGAGGCCACGGGCGGCACCUUCUCCUUCGUCGGGAACCAGGCGGCUAUCCAGAACUCGUUUGCACAGUGCAUCGGCGGGCUUCUGUCGGAAGUCAAGUCCGGCUGCUACAGCAACCACGUGGACGCCGACGGCCGCGCUGCCUCCAUCGACGUCGGAGAGCUCUAUGACGACGAGGAGAGGCGCUUCUUGGUGCUUGUGUACGUGCCGAGAGCCCGGCCCACGGAGUCGGUCACCCGCCUGGUCAAGGUGACCUGCGCCUACAAGGACGCCGCGACAGGGCAGGCCGCCAACGCAGCCGCACCCGCGGCGGUGAUCCAGAGGCCGCUGGAGCUGACGGACCUGCCGCCUCCGUGCAUGGAGGUGGAGCGGGAGCGCGUGCGCCUCGCCGCGACCCAGGACAUCGCGGCCGCACGGGAUGCCGCUGAAGGCGGGCAACACGCCGGGGCUGCGCGGAUACUGGACUCCCGGCUGAAGGCCGUGGAGCGGUCGGCGCCCGGGAUGGCGGGAGAUGAUCCCACGUGUGAGGCGAUCAAGGAGGAGCUGCGCGACCUUAGCGCCCGCGUGGGCGACCGGCGGGAGUACCAGCAGACGGGGCGCGCGACCCUUCUGGCCGGCAUGAGCUCGCACUCGCAGCAGCGAGCCUCGGCGGUGGAGCUGCAGUCGGCGAGCAAGCCCCGGGCGUACCUGACCCCCAAGAUGGAGGAGAUGGUGGAGACGUCGCGUGAGCAGAGCAGGAAGCGUGGCAACAGCAGCGGAUCCACCCAGCAGCUUAAUAAACACAUCAAGCAAGACCUGAUCGACGGCUAA
rnacentral:rRNA from 1 species